UACGUAGGGGGCAAGCGUUGUCCGGAAUCAUUGGGCGUAAAGCGCGUGUAGGCGGUUCGGUAAGUCGGCUGUGAAAGUCCAGGGCUCAACCCUGGGAUGCCGGUCGAUACUGCCGGACUAGAGUUCGGAAGAGGCGAGUGGAAUUCCCGGUGUAGCGGUGAAAUGCGUAGAGAUCAUGAGGAAGACCAGUGGCGAAGGCGGGUCUCUGGACAGUUCCUGACACUGAGGCACGAAGGCCAGGGGAGCAAACAGG
rnacentral:rRNA from 1 species